GAUGAACGCUGGCGGCGUGCCUAAUACAUGCGAGUCGAGCGAACGGACGAGAAGCUUGCUUCUCUGAUGUUAGCAGCGGACGGGUGAGUAACACGUGGAUAACCUACCUAUAAGACUGGGAUAACUUCGGGAAACCGGAGCUAAUACCGGAUAAUAUUUUGAACCGCAUGGUUCAAAAGUGAAAGACGGUCUUGCUGUCACUUAUAGAUGGAUCCGCGCUGCAUUAGCUAGUUGGUAAGGUAACGGCUUACCAAGGCAACGAUGCAUAGCCGACCUGAGAGGGUGAUCGGCCACACUGGAACUGAGACACGGUCCAGACUCCUACGGGAGGCAGCAGUAGGGAAUCUUCCGCAAUGGGCGAAAGCCUGACGGAGCAACGCCGCGUGAGUGAUGAAGGUCUUCGGAUCGUAAAACUCUGUUAUUAGGGAAGAACAUAUGUGUAAGUAACUGUGCACAUCUUGACGGUACCUAAUCAGAAAGCCUCGGCUAACUACGUG
rnacentral:rRNA from 1 species